AUGGGAUAUGUUGAAGGGAAAUUGACGCCUUUUCAAUCACCGGCCAGUGAGCAAGAUGGAAGCGUCGAACUAACUGAAGAAGAGAGAAAGUCUGCAACUAUUGAUGAGAAGUUGAUUUUGGGAAUGUUCAAGCAAGAGGGCAAAUGUGACUUUGUUCCUCCGUUAGAUCUUGAUGAGUUAGGAAAUUCUGUGGCAGGUGAUGGUCAAGGAGCUAGGAAAAGGAAAAAUCCAUUUGAAGAAACGUUUUCAAAAUGA